UUGCUCGCUUCGGCAACAGAUUAACUAAAAUUGGAACAAUACAGAGGAGAUUAGCAUGGCCCCUGGGCAAAGAUGACAUGCAAAUUCAUGAGGCAUUCCUUAUUUUU